rnacentral:tRNA from 1 species
GGGGUUGUGGCUCAGCGGUAGAGUGCUCUCCUAGCACGCGUGAGGCACUGGGGUCGAUCCUCAGCACCACA